ensembl:lncRNA
AUGUUUGGAAAUUAUCUUCUUUGAAAUGUUUGAAUCUUCUUUCCCCGCAGUGGCGCAUUCUGCCUGAGGGUCACGUGUUUUUGAGGUGCUGUCCUGGGAGAUAUGGCAUGGAGAACUACCUACUGUGCAUCUCUGUGGUCUGCAGAAGAGGACAAAGUGUCCCAUCAGAACAUAGACCAUCCUUCUCCCUUCCACUCAGUGCUGUCCAGCUACAGUCUUUUCGCUACAGACAUGGACAUACUGGAGCUAGUGAAACAAAGGGUCACAAAGAUGAUUAGGAGCUGGAGCAUCCUUCAUAAGAGGAGAGACUUCAGGAAGUCUCAUCUCUGGUUGCUGCUAUUUGGGAAAGGAAAACACAACCACCAAUUGGAAGGAAACCUGCCCUUUAGGACAUGCAGGAAAUAGCAGACUGAAAGAAACUUCUUCUUUACCUCUGGUAGAACAACUGGAUCGGUGAAGGAGACUAAGCAGUGAAGCAGACUAAGUACUGAAGAGGUAUCCAUUUUUACCCCAAAGCACUAAGGGAGAUCAUUCUUUAUUGUUUUCCUCUCUGUAAUUAGAAUAUAUUUUUCAGUCAUUCUGGACGCAUUCAAGUUAUAAGUGGCUCAGGAUGCAUGUAGCAAAUUCUUAUACUGCUGGUCUAUAUAGGAAGAUUUAUGAGCCAUUCUACAUCUUGAUUUGUCAGAAAAAUAAAUGAACCAGCUGAAACAUUAAGCUGAGAGGUACAAAAAGCAUUGCUGCUUUAUUUUUUCCUAUUUAUGAAGCACUGAGCUGUAAGGGUGCUCUAAUGCUAACUUGUAUUAAUUUUAACUAACUUGAAAAUCAUGCUGACUGGUCUAACAUUUAGGUGCUUUCUCAUUUUCAAUUUCUCAUCAGCAUUUAGCUUUCUGAUGGAGACACCACAUUUGUUAUGUUAGUGUAAACUGCUAAUUAAAAACAGUGGUGAAAUGAAACUCCACCGCUGAUAAAACUGAGAAGCUUUUAAAAGCUUCAUCUCACUCAAUUAAGAAAAAAAUAUAAUUUAAAUUAAAAUACAUGGAUUGUGAACAUACUGGCUUUAUUAACACAUGGACGUUUUUGGGUUGCUGGCUAAAUAGCUCCAAUUUUGAUAGAAAAUAUUGUUCCUAAAACUAGCAGUUUCUAGUUCCUGCUUUCUUCUUACACACAAACAGUGGAAUUUGUCUUCAGAAAUUACCCAAGGGAUUUGGAAAAACUCACAGAUUGAUCUUUAACUAAUGUUUAAAAUGUAUAGCAGCUGAAAUUAGAGAGUCAUCUGUUGGAGGUGAUCUUUAGCCUUUUGUAAGCAGAAUCGUUUUGGAAAGGCACAAGAUGUUAUAAAGUAGACAGGAUGUGAUGCCUGAUGUUUUUUAUUGGGGAGCUGAAGAAGAUAGUGCCUCCUCUGCAGAUAAGUUUAGAAAAUGGAAAGCCACUACUGGUUCAUGUGGAUCCUUAACCCAGCGCUGCAUCAACUGAUGCUGCUUCAAUGUUCACUUAUGUUUAAGCAGAAUACUUUAAAUAUGGCCUGUAAAUGUGACAGCUCUUACUGCUUUCUUUGGCCAUUGUUCUGUAUUCCAUUGUCAUAAGUGAAAUUCAUUCAUUGAGAAGAUGAUGUUCACAGGACCACUUGAGAGUCAAUGAAGUUGUCAAAUUAAAACCUAAAUGGGACAU